GCGCGCGCGGGUCGGGAGUUCCGGCUUCGCGGACCGGCUGCUGGAGGACGAGAUCCGGCGGCGGAUCGAGGCCUUCCGCGCGCU
rnacentral:tRNA from 1 species